UUACCUUCGUUGACGAGAACAAGUACGCUGCGGGGACGUUCCCCAGAGAGCCGGUUAUCUGCUGCAAGCCGGCGUUCGAACCUCAGCCGAAUAUCCUCUCCGAGAAGCGGCGCCGAACGACUGGCUAUAGUCCAUUAAGCGCUGACGGACGUCCCCCGUUACAGGGAACGCGGAUCGUAUUCGGGUCCGCUGCUAAGGUGCCGUUUUUCACAUGUGCGCUAUGAUUGGUUUCAUAGACGGUGGGACGGAACAAGGGUGGUAGCGCGAGUUAACCUCGUCCCUUUA
rnacentral:ncRNA from 1 species